rnacentral:tRNA from 7 species
GCGCUCGUAGCUCAGCUGGAUAGAGCGUCUGACUACGAAUCAGAAGGCCGGGAGUUCGAAUCUCUCCGAGCGCACCA